rnacentral:tRNA from 1 species
GGAGCUGUGCCUGAAGUAAAGGACCACUUUGAUAGAGUGUCUCAUGAAGGUUAAAAUCCUUCCAGCCCCU